GAGUUUGAUCCUGGCUCAGGACGAACGCUGGCGGCGUGCUUAACACAUGCAAGUCGAGCGGUAAGGCCUUUCGGGGUACACGAGCGGCGAACGGGUGASUAACACGUGGGUGAUCUGCCCUGCACUCUGGGAUAAGCUUGGGAAACUGGGUCUAAUACCGGAUAUGACUACAGCAUGCAUGUGUUGUGGUGGAAAGAUUUAUCGGUGCAGGAUGGGCCCGCGGCCUAUCAGCUUGUUGGUGGGGUAAUGGCCUACCAAGGCGACGACGGGUAGCCGACCUGAGAGGGUGACCGGCCACACUGGGACUGAGACACGGCCCAGACUCCUACGGGAGGCAGCAGUGGGGAAUAUUGCACAAUGGGCGGAAGCCUGAUGCAGCGACGCCGCGUGAGGGAUGAAGGCCUUCGGGUUGUAAACCUCUUUCAGCAGGGACGAAGCGUGAGUGACGGUACCUGCAGAAGAAGCACCGGCUAACUACGUGCCAGCAGCCGCGGUAAUACGUAGGGUGCGAGCGUUGUCCGGAAUUACUGGGCGUAAAGAGUUCGUAGGCGGUUUGUCGCGUCGUUUGUGAAAACCCNGGGGCUCAACUUCGGGCUUGCAGGCGAUACGGGCAGACUUGAGUGUUUCAGGGGAGACUGGAAUUCCUGGUGUAGCGGUGAAAUGCGCAGAUAUCAGGAGGAACACCGGUGGCGAAGGCGGGUCUCUGGGAAACAACUGACGCUGAGGAACGAAAGCGUGGGUAGCAAACAGGAUUAGAUA
rnacentral:rRNA from 1 species